ACCUAAUCGCAAUUGGGAAAUUGAACCAAUUGACAUAAAGUACAUUGGUUGACAGCUGUACAUAAUUAGCCAUUCAGGUUAGAAGGGUCGGGGGUUCCUUUAUGAGGUGCAACCAAAACAGCUGUUAAAAAUAGCAACAGGGAUGUUCUGGUGGGGUGUCUGUCUAGCAUUAGUUCUGAAUACGGUUGUGGUUUUGAUCACUAAAAUGGCUGUGACUUUUGGACUCUUUGAGGUGACGCUUAUGGGCAUCCUGCCUACACUGGACCUGAACCAACUGGAUCCCAAGCAAGUGUGGUGUCUGGUCCAACUGCUAAAGCUACUGGCCACAAUACCCUGGCAAGCGUGAUGCAGGGUCCAAAUGCCACAGCUGAAGCAACUGCCAGCCAUGCCUCUGCAGAAGCGGUGUCGUGGAAGAUUCAGAAUUUGUUGGUAACAUAUAGGAAAUUUCCACGACAGCGGCCCAAGCCUCAGCUGAAGCAACUGCCAAACAUUCCUCUGCAGAAGCGGCUGGCCCCCGCGCCUCAGCUGAAAUAACUGCCAACCAUACCUCUGUGGAAGCGGCCCACGCCUCAACUGAAGCAACUGCCAACCAUACCUCUGCAGAAGCGGCCCGCGCCCUCAGCUGAAGAAACUGCCAACCAUGCCUCUGCAGAAGCCAAUGGCCCCUGCGCAUCAGCUGAAGCAACUGCCAACCACACCCCUGCAGAAGCGGCCGCCGGCCUUCGUGCCUCUGCAGAAGCGGCCGCCGGCCUUCGUGCCUCUGCAGAAGCGGU